rnacentral:rRNA from 1 species
AGAGUUUGAUCCUGGCUCAGGACGAACGCUGGCGGCGUGCCUAAUACAUGCAAGUAGAACGCUGAAGUCUGGUGCUUGCACUAGACGGAUGAGUUGCGAACGGGUGAGUAACGCGUAGGUAACCUGCCUCAUAGCGGGGGAUAACUAUUGGAAACGAUAGCUAAUACCGCAUAACAGUAUUUACCGCAUGGUAGAUGCUUGAAAGGAGCAACUGCUUCACUAUGARAUGGACCUGCGUUGUAUUAGCUAGUUGGUGAGGUAACGGCUCACCAAGGCCUCGAUACAUAGCCGACCUGAGAGGGUGAUCGGCCACACUGGGACUGAGACACGGCCCAGACUCCUACGGGAGGCAGCAGUAGGGAAUCUUCGGCAAUGGGGGCAACCCUGACCGAGCAACGCCGCGUGAGUGAAGAAGGUUUUCGGAUCGUAAAGCUCUGUUGUAAGAGAAGAACGUGUGUGAGAGUGGAAAGUUCACACAGUGACGGUAUCUUACCAGAAAGGGACGGCUAACUACGUGCCAGCAGCCGCGGUAAUACGUAGGUCCCGAGCGUUGUCCGGAUUUAUUGGGCGUAAAGCGAGCGCAGGCGGUUUGAUAAGUCUGAAGUAAAAGGCUGUGGCUUAACCAUAGUACGCUUUGGAAACUGUCAARCUUGAGUGCAGAAGGGGAGAGUGGAAUUCCAUGUGUAGCGGUGAAAUGCGUAGAUAUAUGGAGGAACACCGGUGGCGAAAGCGGCUCUCUGGUCUGUAACUGACGCUGAGGCUCGAAAGCGUGGGGAGCGAACAGGAUUAGAUACCCUGGUAGUCCACGCCGUAAACGAUGAGUGCUAGGUGUUGGGUCCUUUCCGGGACUCAGUGCCGCAGCUAACGCAUUAAGCACUCCGCCUGGGGAGUACGACCGCAAGGUUGAAACUCAAAGGAAUUGACKG